CGAGCACGCACGCCGCCGCCCAGUGCUCUGCAGUCCGCCGGCGCCGUGCCCCCCUUCCCGGCCAGCCCCCGCCCCGGUCAACGUGUUCCGCGUAGCCUGCUGUACUGCGCUGCCGCUGGCUUCUGCGGUGCGCCGUUCGCCCCUGCUGGCCCCGGCUAGCCGGCCUCCUCCCUCCCCGUGGCGGCGACGACGGCCCCCCUCCGCUGCGCCCCGGCCCCGUACCUCUGCUUCCGCCGGCUGUUUGUGGACUGCUGCUUCCUACUACCGCCGCCGCGGCGCCCCUCCUCUGGCUGAAAGAGGAAUUGGUGUUCCUGGCUCCCAUCCCAGUAUCCCACCAUGCUCUUCAGUCGGAAGCUUCUCCCAUGGGCGCCGUGCCCCAGACAGUCACAAGCCCAGGCUCUGCUCCACCGCCUAUUUUGCGCCUUCUACCCAACCAACCUCGAUGACGAUGACCCCCCGUUCACUCGAAUCCCCGAAAGCCUGCCUCGAUCUCCAACACCGCCGCCACCGAAGCCCAGAGACCAGCCUGCCAAGAUCAGCCCCGACGAGCCGGUGUACUCCGAACUUCCCUUCGACUUCCGGUAUUCGUACUCGGAGACUGACCCAGCUUGGAAACCCAUUGGGUUCCGUGAGCCCACCCGGUUUUCGCCCUUUGGCCCCGGCCGCCUUGACCGGCCUUGGGACGGCGUCGCCGCCACCGCCGCGCGUGCUGAAGGGAACAGAGAAGAUGUUUAUGACGGUGCAAGUUGUAGGGAUGAGGUUCUUGGCGAGGUGCUGUCGGAAGUGGAGGUGGCGGAGCUCGUGGAGAGGUACCGGCACAGCGACUGCUCCCGGCAGAUCAAUUUGGGGAAAGGUGGUGUAACUCAUAAUAUGCUCGACGACAUCCACAACCACUGGAGACGUGCAGAAGCGGUCAGAAUCAAAUGUCUUGGGGUUGCAACUCUUGACAUGGACAAUAUAUGCUUCCAUCUCGAGGAUAAAACAGGUGGGAGAAUCAUAUACCGUAGCAUAAACAUACUCAUCCUAUAUCGUGGCCGGAACUAUGAUCCAAAACAACGGCCUGUCAUACCAUUGAUGUUGUGGAAGCCAUUGGCUCCUAUUUAUCCUAAGGUUGUCCAAAAUGUUGCUGAAGGGUUGACUUUUGAGGAAACAAAAGAAAUGAGAAACAGAGGAUUACAUUCGCCACCUCUUAUGAAACUGACUAGGAAUGGUGUUUAUGUUAAUGUUGUUGAUAAAGUGAGAGAGGCCUUUAAGACUUCGGAAGUUGUAAGACUAGAUUGCUCGCACACCGGUACCAGUGAUUGCAAAAAAAUUGGUGUGAAGCUGAGGGAUUUGGUUCCAUGCAUUCCUAUAUUAUUUAAAGAUGAACAAAUUAUUCUCUGGAGAGGGAAGCGGGACCAGGAGGACUCUGUUUCUGCUCAUUGUAUUUCUCGACCACAGUGAUGCAAGUGCCUGUAAACUACUACAACUCUAUGCUCACAGUAACACCUAGCUGAAGCAGGCCUGCUGCUUGGAUGACUUAGGUGAGUUGCAUGAGGUUUUUCGACGGAAGCGAUAGCCUCUUUAUUAUUAGGUAAAGAUUUUGUCUUCAGAGUGUGUGGACCACACAACUGGAGAGUGAUCUAUUUGGGUGAAGAAAAGGACAAUCUCUAAGGUAUGCAGCAGCAUCUCCUUGCUUGGAAGGGAUUGCUACGGUCAGCAGUUCUUCCAGUUGAGGGAUUCAUCUUCAGUUUUCCGUCCUCUGGGUUUCGCCCUCCGCACUUUUGGAAGUGUCGGCUUGUUUCUAUUGCUUCAGCUGCCUGAUGCAGGAUCGAUGCUCGAGAUUGAGACACUGGAAACAGAGCACAGAUGGUCUGAGCCUCAAAUAAGUUUUCUUUUUCUGAUGUUGUACACACUUUCGGCGGAUGGAUUGACUGAGAUAUAUUCUGGUUAUCCGAGAGAUAUAAGUAGAUUUAAGACA